GUCGAACGCGAAAGGGGGCAACCCCGAGUAGAGUGGCGAACGGGUGAGUAAUACAUCGGAACGUAUCCUGUAGUGGGGGAUAACCCCGAGAAAUCGGGGCUAAUACCGCGUACGUCCUACGGGAGAAAGCGGGGGCUCGCAAGACCUCGCGCUAUAGGAGCGGCCGAUGUCGGAUUAGCUAGUUGGCUGGGUAAAGGCCCACCAAGGCUACGAUCCGUAGCUGGUCUGAGAGGAUGAUCAGCCACACUGGGACUGAGACACGGCCCAGACUCCUACGGGAGGCCGCAGUGGGGAAUUUUGGACAAUGGGCGAAAGCCUGAUCCAGCCAUGCCGCGUGAGUGAAGA
rnacentral:rRNA from 1 species